GCAUCGGUGGUUUAGUGGUAAAAUUAGCCGUUGCCAAUGAAAAAAACAAUCGGCUAGCCCCGGGUUCGAUUCCCGGCCGAUGCA